GUGGGGAAUAUUGGACAAUGGGCGAAAGCCUGAUCCAGCAAUGCCGCGUGAGUGAUGAAGGCCUUAGGGUUGUAAAGCUCUUUUACCCGGGAAGAUAAUGACUGUACCGGGAGAAUAAGCCCCGGCUAACUCCGUGCCAGCAGCCGCGGUAAUACGGAGGGGGCUAGCGUUGUUCGGAAUUACUGGGCGUAAAGCGCACGUAGGCGGUUUUGUAAGUUAGAGGUGAAAGCCUGGGGCUCAACCCCAGAAUUGCCUUUAAGACUGCAUCACUUGAACGUCGGAGAGGUGAGUGGAAUUCCGAGUGUAGAGGUGAAAUUCGUAGAUAUUCGGAAGAACACCAGUGGCGAAGGCGGCUCACUGGACGACUGUUGACGCUGAGGUGCGAAAGCGUGGGGAGCAAACAGGAUUAGAUACCCUAGUAGUCC
rnacentral:rRNA from 1 species